rnacentral:rRNA from 1 species
AGGAUUAACGCUGGCGGCGUGCCUAACACAUGCAAGUCGAACGAGGUAGCAAUACCUAGUGGCAGACGGGUGAGUAACGCGUGGUCAACCUACCGUUGAGUGGGGGAUAACUAGCCGAAAGGUUAGCUAAUACCGCAUACGAGUCUCGGGGGCAUCCCUGGGCCUUAAAAGGAGCAAUCCGCUCGAUGACGGGACCGCGUCCCAUUAGCUAGAUGGUGGGGUAAUGGCCUACCAUGGCACCGAUGGGUAGCUGGUUUGAGAGAGCGACCAGCUACACUGGGACUGAGAAACGGCCCAGACUCCUACGGGAGGCAGCAGUGAGGAAUUUUCCGCAAUGGGCGAAAGCCUGACGGAGCGACGCCGCGUGUGGGAAGAAGGCCUUCGGGUCGUAAACCACUGUCGAAGGGGACGAUAAUGACGGUACCUUGGAGGAAGCCCGGCUAACUACGUGCCAGCAGCCGC